UGUCUAGAUAGCUCAAGCGGUUAGAGCAUAAGAUUGAAAAUCUUUGUGUCAUAGGUUCGAAUCCUAUUCUAGACAA
rnacentral:tRNA from 1 species